rnacentral:rRNA from 1 species
CAAUAGCGUAUAUUAAAGUUGUUGCAGUUAAAAAGCUCGUAGUUGGAUUUCGGGGCAGCCUGGCUGGUCCGCCGCAAGGCGAGUACUGGUCAGCCGCCCUUCCUCUCGAAAGCCCCGACUGCUCUUUAUUGCAGUGGUCGGGUAGUUCGGGACGUUUACUUUGAAAAAAUUAGAGUGUUCAAGGCAGGCCUACGCCUGAAUACAUUAGCAUGGGAUAAUGGAAGAGGACCUCGGUCCUAUUUUGUUGGUUUCCAGGACCGAAGUAAUGAUUAAGAGGGACAGUUGGGGGCAUUCGUAUUUAAUUGUCAGAGGUGAAAUUCUCGGAUUUAUGAAAGACGAACAACUGCGAAAGCAUUUGCCAAGGAUGUUUUCAUUAA